ACUUUCGGGGCGGGGUGAGAUUCCCCACCGACGGUUAAAGCCCGUGAACACUCUUUAAAAUGAGUGCCGAUUCGGUGAAAUUCCGAAGCCGACGGUAUAGUCCGGAUAAAAAGAAA
rnacentral:ncRNA from 1 species